rnacentral:rRNA from 1 species
AUUGAACGCUGGCGGUAUGCUUAACACAUGCAAGUCGAACGCGAAAGUACCUUCGGGUGCGAGUAGAGUGGCGGACGGGUGAGUAACGCGUAGGAAUCUGCCUAGUAGUGGGGGACAACCAGAAGAAAUUCUGGCUAAUACCGCAUACACCCUACGGGGAAAAGAGGGCCUCUUCUUGAAAGCUCUUGCUAUUAGAUGAGCCUGCGUCGGAUUAGCUAGUUGGUGGGGUAAUGGCCUACCAAGGCGACGAUCCGUAGCUGGUCUGAGAGGACGAUCAGCCACACUGGGACUGAGACACGGCCCAG